GGAUCCUCUUUGUUGGAUCAUUCGCCGGAUCAAGAAAAUCCGCGUAUUUUUAUUCGGAUCCUACAUCAAACAAUUAAACUCUUUUUUGGGUAUAUAACCCUAGAUAUAAACAUUGAGACUCGAUUAUUAAACAUUGAGACGCCGCGGCGUUGAAGAAGAGAGAUCGUUGGAGGCAUGGUUGAGACGAGACGUCACAGCGAUUUUGCGCUUCUUCUCAGGAAACAAUAUAAUCACAACUUACCAACAAGAAAAAGGAGUUUACUCCAGCUGCUGGGAUUAUAUGCAGUCAGAUUUGAAGCAUAUGGCCUAAAAAAGGUUUUGGCGUACAUGUAGAACAUAUCAGGUAGAAGAAGAAAGUGAAGAACAGAUGUAUAAAGUAUAAUGAAGAGAACGAGGAAACCGUGGGAAGCAUCUCGAGAUGUUGAGAGCUGAAACUGAUGCUAAUCAGAAGAGAUAUGAGUUUGAAACUAAAGGAGAUAAUGUCUAGAAUUAUUAGUGUGUGAAGCUAAUCAUACAUCAUUUGUUCAGUAAUCCGAUUUUUGCAGAACAGAGGUCAUUAUGAGCUCUAUUCAUCGGUAUGAAAUAGAACAUAAACUAAGAUAUGCAAAUAUAUCAACUAGAGACGAUGACAUGCAACAGUACAGUUGUACUAAUAUACCAUUAUAUUAUGGGUUUGGUGGUUCUGAUCCACAAAAGUGCAUCAUCUAUUGAACUGCAACAUAUGGAGAAGGAAUAAACAUGAGAAGAAUUGAGAAAGUUUGAAUAGAACAAUACAGUAGAAGAGAAGCAGAUAAGUAGAGAAAAAGUGAAGGUGAUCAGACAGCCAUGUAAAAGCUCCACUUCAUUUAUGAGCAUUUGUUUUCUCAUGAUGUAUGCAAGUAAUACUUGCCAAGUAUAUUAGCUGCAUGAGUGUCUUCUUUUAGAUGAAUUUGGUAAUACAAAUCCCACGUGGUUUACUUAAACUUAA